GGCUUUCCUCUGCUUCCGAAGCACAGAAAAACCACUGAUGACGGUGGCUGACCGGCGGUGGCUGGAUUUGACCGACGGAGAACGAGUUAAUCGCGGGAGGUGGAGCAUGACACCAAGCAGACCAGCAGUGGAGGUGAAGAAGAUGUAGGAAGGGACGCUAAGUUCGUUAGCGACAUCGAUCAAGGUAGAGCAGAAAAGAUCGACGACUAACCCUGCGAUUGGAGCCCGAGUUGGAGUUGAUUCAGAGUCCAAAUCGGAGGAAAGGGGACUGGUGAUUGUGUGUUUGACAAGUGGUUUGUGGGUUUCUACGAGAACGGACACGAGACUCUCUCGGGUUCGAAGAUUGGAUGACGAAGGAGGUGGCUCGAGCUCAGGGAGGUGGACGAAUCGGAUUUGUGGAAGGGAAUCGGUGUAAGAAGUGAAAUCUGAUGAAACAAAGAGUGUUUUGAUGAGGAAGUCGCUGAUGGAGAAACGAUCGUCUCCAUCGAAGAGUUGUUUGGCAAACUCCAUCCUUGAGACAAGAUGAAUCCCAUAGCUGGGAUGAACACCAACUCUGCUUUCUUCUUCAUCCUUAAUUUGUUUUUCCUGCUGUAAGGUCGCUUCCUAUCGGGUUUUAUUCGACUAAUUUAUAGCGAAUAGUCGGAAAGGGGAGACCUGGAAAGCUUGUCGGAUGUGAUUGGGCUCUCUCCGGCCGGCGCUGGGAGGAUCAAAAUCAAAUUCUGUAUUACACGAUGGGCGCACCUAAAUUAGGAUGAUUUAAAACAUGAAUUGAGAGCUUCAUAGCUUGUAUUCCUUCUUUUUUUUUCUUUUGGUUUGGUUGUCUAUGUGUACAGAGAUGCUGGACUGGAUGGAAAUCUUCCAUUGAUGAUGGCCAUGGUUGGUUUAUAAUGGCGACUCUACACAGUAAAAUUGGAAUUUCUUUC